GACGAAGGGGGGCUAGCGUUGUUCGGAAUUACUGGGCGUAAAGCGCGUGUAGGCGGUUGUUCAAGUCGGGUGUGAAAGCCUUGAGCUCAACUCAAGAAAUGCACUCGAUACUGGAUGACUAGAGGACCGGAGAGGAUAGUGGAAUUCCCAGUGUAGUGGUGAAAUGCGCAGAUAUCAGGAAGAACACCCGUGGCGAAGGCGGCUCUCUGGUACGUGACUGACGCUGAGACGCGAAAAGCGUGGGGAGCAAACAGGG
rnacentral:rRNA from 1 species